UUCAUCUAAAUCGAAAAUGUGUCGGUCAGAAAGGUGUUCGGUUUGUAAAAAAAAGUCCCAAAAUUUUUACAAUAAAACAUAUCCCGCA